UUUUCCUCUUGGGACACACCUCUUUAGUUAACCCCCAUUUCUUGGUUUUGACACCACUUUCUUUCUUUCCUUUCUGGUUUAAACACCACCCUAUUCAUAUAUUUUUCUCAGCCUUUCUCCUUGGAACUACGGAGCUCUAACUUCCUUAUUGCACUAUAAGGAUACAUAGGCAUAGUGAUGCGAAUUCUUGACGAGCACUUUUCUCCACCUUUUUUUCUUUUCUUUUUCC
rnacentral:lncRNA from 1 species